UUCACAUCUGGGUUUUUGUUUAGUUUACUUUUGUUGUUGAGACAGAGUCAAUCUGUCACCAGGCUACAGUGCAGUGGUGUGAUCUCACAUCACUGCAGCGUCCUCCGACUGCAUUCAAGCAAUUCUCCUGACUCAGCCUUUCGAAUAGCUGGGACUGAAGUUUGUCGCCACCACCAUGCCGGGUUUCUAGUAGUUUUUAGUAGAGACGGGGUUUCACCAUGUUGGCCAGGAUGAUCUCAACCUCUUGCCUUCAUGAUCUGCCUGCCUCGGCCUCCCCAGAUGCUGGGAUUACAUGCGUGAGCCACCGUGCCCACUCUGCCGUCUGGUUUCCUAAUGUCACCAAGUGAAUACAAGACCUGUGCCAACAGGACCCAGCAUGAUGUAAUCCUCAUGGUGUUUCUUUUUCUCUUAUUGCAGGAGAAGCCUGCGGCCCAGUAUCACCACCGUCCUGUGGAGGUCCUACAGGACCUCAUAUUAGAAGACAUCGAAGACAAUGAGCUACCCCGUGACGUGGAGAAGCCUGCGGCCCAGUAUCACCACCGUCCUGUGGAGGUCCUACAGGACCUCAUAUUAGAAGACAUCGAAGAUGAUGAGCUACCCUGUGACGUGGAGAAGCCUGCGGCCCAGUAUCACCUCCGUACGUAUUCUUUUUCUCUUAAACAGUUACCGAGACGUAGUUGCCAUGCAAACCAAUUCAUUCAUUUAAAUUAGGUGAUUCAGUGUUUUCACUCUAUUUACAGGGUUGUGCAACCAUUGUUAGAAUCUAAUUUUAGAAGCUCUUGGUUCCCAAUCAGAAAACCCCCUUAGUAGUGACUCCUCUGUUUUUCCCAACCCUCCACACCCCUGGUUCUAGGCAGGCCUAAUCCACUUCCUGUUUCUAUAGUACACUGCCUUAUUGUAUUAACCGGUUCUUCAAAUGACGAUUUCACCUUGAUGAGGUUUGCCUGGCUAGGAAGCUAGGCUCUUUGAUUUCUUUCUGCCCCUCUAUGUUUCCUUUCUUCAGCACCAAGGAGAAUGGUCCA
rnacentral:lncRNA from 13 species